rnacentral:snRNA from 1 species
AAAUUCCGUCCAAGGCUAAA